AAAAGUCUUUUAUUUAUAUCUGAUAAUAACUUCAGUUGAAUUCAUGGAUCAUCUCAGAUCAUUUAUACUCAGAGUUUACUUCAAACAUCAGAAACAGUUUAUAAAGUUGUACAUGUGUCAUCAGCAGGUUUACACUCUGUAUGUACAGGGAAAUGCCUAUCAGCUGAUCUGUGACAUCACAGCUCAUCCGUGAUGUCACAGACAGACAGCUUAUCUGUGUUAAAGCUACACAAUAGCUAUCUGCUCGUCUCCAGCAGAGUUGUCAUGGUGACUGAACCUUCGAUAACAUAUUCAUAUUCAUUGUGAACAGUUCACAGUUUUGCCUCCAGGGGGAGUAACACUGAGUUCAGUCUUUAAUCCUUUUCCCUCUGUCACAUAUUUAAAUUUGUUUUAUUUCAUUUCCUGACAUCAGAAGAUCAAAUCUUUAUAUUUCAUACAAACACAAAAACAGGUCAAAUUUUUGGUAAAAAAAUUAUUUUCACACCAAAGUUUUUUUGAAAUGACAUCAAACUCCAGAUUCUUAAAUUCUAAAUUAAAACUUAGAUCUAGAUCUGAUUCUAAUUUCCUUUGUUGUUAAAGCUGAAAUCAUAGCUCAGUGUGACAUCACACUCUUCAUCCUGUUUCCUAAGUAAUGUUAAAAUUCUUCACAUCAUAACCUUUGAUCACUUUAAUCCAAAAUCAGACAAUUAAACUUCUGACCAACGGACCCCCACCCUCCUACAACAGAAAUGUCAACAGUCACUUCACACAGAGGUUCUUGUCCAGCAGUUCUGGACCCGUCCCUGGUGGGCAAAACCCUGGUCAACACUAGUUGAAACCACUGAAGCUGAAAUCAUCAUUGUAACAUAGUGUUACUCAGAAAAUCACAAUUGUGAAGUAAUAAGAUAAUUUAUGUAUCUUUUAACUUUUAUUUACCAUGAGUAUUUUUAUUUUUGUCAUUUCUAACAUUUUACAUAUGUUUUCUUUGCCUGGUGAAAAUGGCCUCCUACAGUUUCGGUCUUUAUUUUCCCUCUCUGUGUCUGAUGGGAUCUGAUUGUGGUUUUUUAACAGUCCAACAACAUGCGACAUCAUUAAAGUUUCAAACAGAAAGAGGAGGAGAAAGAAAAAAAAAUUAAAGCUGUUCUCUGAGCUUUUCGUAAUAUAAGCCCUCCUCGUUUUUCUCUGAGGCAGACGGACAAGGCAUUGGACAAGAUGGGAUUCAAACUAGUAUUCAACUCUGAUUCCUCUGAGUGUCUGACGUUAGUGUGAAGCAGAUUUUAAUGUUAUAGAUUUAAUACAGUUUCCACAAACUGUUUCUUGUCAAUGCAGCUGUGUGCUGAGUUGUGACAUGGACUGUGGAUGUCUGUUAUUGCUGAAAGCCUGAGGUAAAUGGAGAACAGUACCACAGACAACCUGUCCUCCAUCACUGUUAACUUGUGACAAAAAUUAUACAUUACAAGUAAUAUUCCUUUUUUCAAUAUGUUACAUAAAUAAAAAUACAUGAGGCUAAUCAGGAAAAUGUAUCAAAAGUAAAAGCGCUGGAUGCAGAAAAAUGUCAGUGUUGUUUAUAUCAUUAGAUCAUUAUUAUUGAUGCAUUAAUGUUAAAAACAUUUUACUGUUGGAGCUGGAUGGAGCUAAUUGUAACUAUUCUGUAUACAGCUUUUUCAGAAAUGUCAGAAAUCGUGAGAAAACAGUGAGAAAUGCCAUCACAGUUACCAGAGUUCAAACUGAAACCUUCCGACCAAAAUUCAAAACCUCAAAAUUAUUAGAAAUAAAUUGAAUCAUUAAAAGUAAAAGUAGAAAUUUGUUACAUUUCACUAGAACCAUGAAACAAAUUAUUUAAAUAAUUAUCAGAAAAGUUUAAUUUUGUGUGAACUAACUAAUGGUUUUCUUGUCUUGUUAACCUUCAGAAACAGCAGCUGUCAAAUGUAUUGAUUGAUUUCCCUCUGACAUGAGGUUAAAGUAUAAAAUACCUGAAAACUUCACGUCAGUAAACACCUGAACUACUGGCUGAUUUAAUCACCGCCCGGACGGCACGCUCUGUGAGACAAUUCGAGCGCAUCCACGAUGUAUCUGCGCGGGGUUACAGAUGCAUUCUGGGUAUAGUUAAAAUGUCGGUGGUGGUGGUGAUUGAAUCUGCAGACAGGUGAGCGCGGUGUCACUUGAAACUGAGGGGCGUCACUACAUCAGAGGGAUUCAACUGUGUUGAAGAAGCGCGAGGCAGCGCGGGACUUUAAAGACUGAGUGAGACUGUGAGGGAGGGACUGACGCUCAGACAGACUGACUCCAUGAUGCUGAGAUCAGGACUCUUCGGGGGCCAGACCAUCUGUUGCAGGACUCCUGGUUCUCCUGAUCUCUGGAGAUAGUUCUUUAUGUUUGGACUCGUCAUGCUGUAGGAUGAAUCUGGACCAAUCAGACGCCUCCUGAUGGAGAAAAGUCUGAACAUCUAAACAGACUAAAACCUGUUUGUUCUGCGUAUAAAUAAAAAUGAAUUAAUUACCGA